CAGAAUCUGUACCCGCAAAGCUGCAGCUAGUCUGCAGGGGGUGGUUUACUUGGGAGUCAGCCUCUGUUCAACACUGAAAGCAGCUCCUUCAGAAUGGGAGCAGGCACAGUGAGGGAGCACUGCUGGAACUCAUCACUCAUUUCUUCCUCCAUCAUCUUACUUUGACCAGCAUUUGUUAAAAACGUACCCUACACCAGACAACAUGCUAGCUGCUGAGACAGUGAAGACAAAACCAAGGACAGAGAGGUCCUUCACACACCUCCCCCUCCAUCUCCAGCCUGCUGAAACACAGACACAGAAGGGAGACUGAAGAAGUCCUGUGCAAACAGAAGUUUAAAUAAAGCUAAGCAGUUCAGACAAGAGCUAAUCCAAACCAUCACAGGGAUGCAUUUGUGUGGCGGUCAGAUCAGAGCCAACACUAACAUCCUCAGCUCCCUUGAAUUCUGUGAAUUCUGUCUGCAGAAUGUGCUUACAAGGCUGGGAGACAUCGGCCUGCUUCAGAUCAGGAGCUGGCAUGCCCUGGUUGCCCAUGGCAACCCAGCUGCACGGGAGUGCUGGCGUUUGUAAAUGUGUGUGGGCUUAAAAUUAUAUUAUUGAUUCUGUCUGGAAGACGAUAGUCUGAUUUGUAUAUAGCUCUGAAUAAAUUACUCCUUAUCCUUUACA